CACCUUGCUUGCAAACUUCGGCAACAGAACCAGCACAGUUGCUUCUGUGAGGGAAAAGCAGCUCUCUGAGGAGAUGAUUUGGUGAGAAGCAACAGCAUGGUAGGAGCACUUCACCCUUCUUCCCACUUUGCUGUUGCGCCUCCUGUCUCUGAGCAGCUUCCUCAUACCUGAUUCCCCUUUGCAGAGUUCUGGGUGUGCAUUUGCUCUCUGUUUCCCCACUCCUGUGAUAUGCCUAGUUUCCCCACGGAUGUAAAAUUCAAGUUGAGGGAUGUUACUUUUAAAAAUAACUUUCUCUGAAAUUGAUUACGGAUGCAAACAUAUGAAGUCUUUACAGUCUGAACGAUCAAACAGUAAUCGUGCAACAUGCAUUAGAAUAAUAUUAAUCGGUGAUUUUAAAAAGGGAGUAAUAAACAAAUUGCCCCUGGAGAAUAAAGGGAUAAUUUCAUUCAGUCAUUCGUUGGUUGGUUCGUUCAUAUGUCUAUAAGUGGAAUGAUGUAAUAUCAUGUCCUUGGUGUGAUCUUACUUUGAAAUGUUGGUGCAAAUUAGUGAAACUUUUUAUUGUUAAACAUCUCAAUUGUACCAGAAUUUAUUUGUGUUAAAAAUGAAUGCAUAGUGCUCAACCAUCCCGAUUUAAGUGGGACAUCCUAGAAUCACAGAAACAAACCCAGCUUUUGAUUGGAUCCUUGAAUGUCCCAUUUUUUUUGUCUGGCUCUCUGGACCAAAAUAUGUUCAUUUUUUGGUCUUGUGCAAGUCUGCUGGCUCCUGUGAGAGCUUGGGACAGAAAACCCCCGUGUCCUGAUUUGGAUCACCUGGCUGUUGGAGGGUAUGUAAUUGUGUGCCCCCUACUUGCUAAGGAAAGGGGAGAGAUGCUCCUAGGUGUAAUGAUCUCUGGCAGGCAAUCGAGCCCCAAUAAGAAGUAAUGACCCUCCGGCAGUUUUAUGUACAUUUAUUUUACAAAAAGACACAUCCAGAGCACGGCAUUUCACCUGCUCGCAUUUAUGUUUGUUGGUCAGCCUGACGUUUCACUCCUCCCACAGCAGGAAGGACGCCAGACUCCCGCCUUUCCCCUCUUGCCCUUCCGUCGCCUUCUGAUUUUAUCCAGGUGCCUGAAUCGGGGACUGAGAGGCUGUCCUCCCCCUCCUCCUCACUCCCACUCGACGCAGACUCAGACCUCUGCUUAUCUGCUGGUUGCCUAGCAAAGCUCUGGCUACCUUCCACCUCUUCCUCUCCUUGAGAGCUAAUAGAGUCUUCUCUGGGAAGGGGGAGUCGAACUGCCCUUUCUCAAUUCUGACAGCCAGUUCUCCUCUGCAGAGUCGGACCCUCAUUCAUUUAGUUCAAUCUCUGAGUCUAACUCAUCCCCUGCACUCGGGGGGGGGGGCACGUCCCUGACACUAGGGUCUGCGGAUGGUUGUACUUCAUUGCAGGCAUUUUCAGGGAAGUAUUCCCCACUGACUGGAAUCUGGGCAGUGCCUCAGUCUGGCUCUCUUAAAGUGAUAAGUGGAACCUCAGCUGAUCUCCCCCUCUUGAGAACAAAGGCACUGGAAUGUGCUCCCCAUAUCCCUGGGGAUUGCCUUUGGUAACAUGGCUGCUUACUCGUGUGCUGUGAUUGGACAGUAUGUCCGAACUGGGUGAUGUCAUAGCGUUGCUGUUACUGUGUUUAUUGGCACCUUCCUUCACGGAUAGCAUUGUUAGUGCACAACAUUUUGGCUGGGAGAUUGAGCUAUUGGCAACACUGUGCGGGGUGUAUAUCAGUGGUGCUACAUUAGCUUUGUGCUAUAGACUUGCUGCUAUAUUUAAAUAUAUCCUUUAAUAUGCAUUUUUAAAAUAUGUGCUUUCUCUUGGCAUAGUCAUUUCUCUAUGUAUUUUAUCUCUAAGUACACAUCCCUAAAUGUAUUUAUUACAGAAUAUGCAUUUUUAAACACAUAUUUUUAAUGGUUCCGGCAAAAGGAAUAAGCAGCGCAUCUGAAACAAUUUUAUUCUCCAGAGUCUCCAAGACAAACUUGUGCAACUGGCUGGAUCAUGUAACUUGUGGGUAAGUUCUCACAUUACCAACUUCUUAAUAUUAAAAGGAAUACUUCUAAAUUAGAAACUCUUAUCAUUACAAUAUUGAUUUUUAUUUUAUUUUAUUACAUCAAAGCAUUUGGAGAAGUGUAAACUCCCAUGGAUAACUGUGUUGCAAAUCUCACCUCUGCUGGGAGGUGCGGAUCAUAUCGUUCUUGUCAGAAUUCACAAGAAUCAAAUUCUCCAAGCUUCCCCGACUGCGACUUUGCUAUGCGGUCAUUAUGCCAUUAGUUAGCAUAGUGGCUGUUGCUGUUGCAAUGUGACAAUAGAACUGGGCAUUAAGCCUGCUUGGAUGCCA
rnacentral:lncRNA from 1 species